UCUGGCGUAGCCUAGAAAAUGGGCUUUAGUAACUUUGCCAAGGUUGGGGUCGAGGGUUCGAAUCCCUUCGCCCGCUCCA
rnacentral:tRNA from 1 species